GACGAACGCUGGCGGCGUGCCUAAUACAUGCAAGUCGAGCGGACGGAUGGGAGCUUGCUCCCAGACCGUCAGCGGCGGACGGGUGAGUAACACGUGGGCAACCUGCCUGUAAGACUGGGAUAACUCCGGGAAACCGGGGCUAAUACCGGAUAACUCUUUCCCUCACAUGAGGGAAAGCUGAAAGAUGGCAUCUCGCUAUCACUUACAGAUGGGCCCGCGGCGCAUUAGCUAGUUGGUGAGGUAACGGCUCACCAAGGCGACGAUGCGUAGCCGACCUGAGAGGGUGAUCGGCCACACUGGGGCUGAGACACGGCCCAGACUCCUACGGGAGGCAGCAGUAGGGAAUCUUCCGCAAUGGACGAAAGUCUGACGGAGCAACGCCGCGUGAGUGAUGAAGGUUUUCGGAUCGUAAAACUCUGUUGUCAGGGAAGAACAAGUACCGGAGUAACUGCCGGUACCUUGACGGUACCUGAACAGAAAGCCACGGCUAACUACGUG
rnacentral:rRNA from 1 species